rnacentral:rRNA from 1 species
UACGUAGGGCGCAAGCGUUGUCCGGAAUUAUUGGGCGUAAAGAGCUCGUAGGUGGCUUGUCACGUCGGGUGUGAAAGCUUGGGGCUUAACUCCAGGUCUGCAUUCGAUACGGGCUGGCUAGAGGUAGGUAGGGGAGAACGGAAUUCCUGGUGUAGCGGUGAAAUGCGCAGAUAUCAGGAGGAACACCGGUGGCGAAGGCGGGUCUCUGGGCCGAUACUGACGUGAGGAGCGAAAGCGUGGGGAGCGAACAGG